rnacentral:rRNA from 1 species
AUUGAACGCUGGCGGCAGGCCUAACACAUGCAAGUCGAACGGUAACAGGAAGCAGCUUGCUGCUUUGCUGACGAGUGGCGGACGGGUGAGUAAUGUCUGGGAAACUGCCCGAUGGAGGGGGAUAACUACUGGAAACGGUAGCUAAUACCGCAUAACGUCGCAAGACCAAAGAGGGGGACCUUAGGGCCUCUUGCCAUCGGAUGUGCCCAGAUGGGAUUAGCUAGUAGGUGGGGUAACGGCUCACCUAGGCGACGAUCCCUAGCUGGUCUGAGAGGAUGACCAGCCACACUGGAACUGCGACACGGUCCAGACUCCUACGGGAGGCAGCAGUGGGGAAUAUUGCACAAUGGGCGCAAGCCUGAUGCAGCCAUGCCGCGUGUAUGAAGAAGGCCUUCGGGUUGUAAAGUACUUUCAGCGGGGAGGAAGGGAGUAAAGUUAAUACCUUGGCUCAUUGACGUUACCCGCAGAAGAAGCACCGGCUAACUCCGUG